rnacentral:tRNA from 1 species
GGAUUGUGGCUCAGUGGCAGAGCGCUUGCCUUGCACAUAUGAGGUAUUGGGUUUGAUUCUCAGCACCA